rnacentral:rRNA from 1 species
UGGGGAAUAUUGGACAAUGGGGGCAACCCUGAUCCAGCCAUGCCGCGUGAGUGAUGAAGGCCUUCGGGUUGUAAAGCUCUUUUGGCGGGGACGAUGAUGACGGUACCCGCAGAAUAAGCCCCGGCUAACUUCGUGCCAGCAGCCGCGGUAAGACGAAGGGGGCUAGCGUUGUUCGGAAUUACUGGGCGUAAAGCGAGUGUAGGUGGUUGUCAUAGUCAGGCGUGAAAGCCUUGAGCUCAACUCAAGAAAUGCGCUUGAUACUGGGCAGCUAGAGGACCGGAGAGGAUAGUGGAAUUCCCAGUGUAGUGGUGAAAUACGUAGAGAUUGGGAAGAACACCAGUGGCGAAGGCGGCUAUCUGGACGGUUUCUGACACUAAGACUCGAAAGCGUGGGGAGCAAACA